CUUUCUCUCUUAAUACAUUUAUUAUCCUGUUCCUUCUUCCAGAUCUUUCUUCCUCUCUCUGCUCUCACUAUCUGACGCGACAGUUUCUUCUUUGUUUCCUUAGUUUUGCACGCACGCCACGGAUCUUUUCUGGGUUUUGGUUUCACCAAGUUUCGAAAUUAUGGGUUUAAGGUUGCUUCAAUCUCCCAUCGCUGGGUUUCAGAUAUUGCUAUGGUCACUCGGUUUCUUCAACUAUUACAAAUGGUCUUCGUUUCAUAUGUUAUUCGACAACCGCUGCUGGUGAUGAUGGUUGAAUCCGGGACAAGUAAAGCUUUCAUGAUAAAAGGAUUGGUCGCUUCUGUAUCUUUACACCGUCGCUUUGCGGUGUGCCUAAUGUUGUUUUGCUAGAAGACCGUGUUGGUUGCUGGUUGUUGUGUGAGAAUGUGUUUCCGAGUUUAUCAACUUUAUCACUAGCGAAAGAGUAUGAUUCGGACCCGUGUUGCGUCUCCGAAACCCGCUGAUUCAUGUGGCAGUUGCAUCAUCCAUGUUGGUUUCAAACAAUCAGAUCUAAAAUCAGCAAGAAAUGAUCGUCAUCCUCAAGAAUCUUCGAUCCAAGUUUCUACAAUAAUGAGGUAAUUGCUAUGCGUAUACAUGCGUAAAUUUAAAUCUUGGGUUUUUGGGUGUAAAUUACUCCACCGGAAAAAUGCGCCCUGUUAUUUUUUUUAGUCAUCAUGCUCACUUUAUUCUCAAUUUUGUUAUUUUGUUUAUCCAACCACACCAUAAAAUUAUAAUUGGUUAUUCACUUAUAAAUUGUUUUCCGUAAUUAUUAUCAAGAGCAUUGCUUUGGAAAUAAUAAUCGGAUUAAGAUAAGGUCUAUUAUACAUUGAUGAGAUACUUUAGUGGAAUAACUAUUUUGUCAUAACAUAAUUAUUGGUUUAUGUCUUACAAAUUAUGAUUAAAUUUUGUAGCUACGUAUAUUUCAUAUAUAUUGUUAAAAUAUGAGAUUGAGAAGAUGAAUACAGAGAGGUACCCACUUAUUUAAAUCGAAAGCAUAUCAAUGAUUAGUCACAGUUACUCUAAGAUGGCCGAGGUUCGGCUAACACAAUUUUUGACUUAAGUGUUUUGGGAGCCAACCCAAACAGUGCCUAAAUUACCCGUUUUGACCCGUUGCCGAACGGUCCCAUUUUGCCACCUCCAUUGGUUAACUAAUACCCCACAGGUGUGGGUUUAUCCCGCAUGUAGAUACCCAUUCAACAUUCGAGGGCUCAAUUUACUGCCUUUCAUUCUUAGGAUCUUGCAUUGUGGAGUCUAGAGCAUCUGUGGUGAGAUACAAAUAGUCCAAAUUUCUUUAGGAGUGCUAUUUAUCUUCCCCCUAGAUCAAUGAUCUUGCUUUUUGGAGCAUGAAGAUAUGCUUGGCAACAGUAUAUACCCCACCAUAAGUUUGGGGAGUGCGUCGGAUCAAUUUGGGAUGAUGAAAACACCUAAUAUUAAAGAAUAUGGGGAUGUCACAAGAUUCAGAGAAUACAGAGGUGUUCGGAGAUCCAUUAACAGCAAAAUAAUGGUAUUUGGCAAAAGUGAUAAUGCAUAAAACUUGUCCCUCUUUCUAUAUAUAAAUAUGUGUGUGUGUAUAAGCAUGCGUGUAUUCUGAUAAUGUUUUGACACAUCUAGUUAGUUUUUAUGUACCUAAUUUGCCACUUGUAAUAUAUGUGCAAUUUCAAGUGGAGGGAGACAGGAUA